CCUGAUCUGGAGCCGAGCUCUGCCAGCAGAUCAGGGGUGUUAAACAUCUACUGGCAGAGGCGGGGGAACCACAAUCGGCUGCCUAGAGAAGCAGCCUUGGGGUGAAGUCCGCAGCAGCAGUGCCUUACUUACGCAAUUCCCUCCUGGGAUACCUGUGUGCCGUGAGCGCUGCGUGCGGGCCGGGUCUUUGCACUCUCUGAUCCGAAUCCGACAGCUAACUUCGCAGGCUUUUGAGAGAGGAACA
rnacentral:sRNA from 2 species